rnacentral:sRNA from 1 species
GAAUUUUCAGAUUCCACCAUCAAUGAGAUCUAGAUAAAC